GCACUGUGACUGAAGCAGCUUUGCUAUUGCCCUGACAAAGAAGUCUUUCACACGGUGUGACUUGUUUUUAAGGCAGCUCCACUGGCAGAUCAUCUUUAUGCAGUGUGCCACAUCCACCCUGAUGAAACAAGGAGGAAGUUUCCCAGACCGGUUCCCAAGUAGCACACGGAAGCACUCAUUAAUGUAUGUCUUCAGAUCAGGGUAAGGAGUGAAAGCCUUCACCAGAGCACCUAGAAUAGCCAGAGAAAAGUCACUCACGGCUUCUUUUGGUAUAGCAGCACCUGUCCGAAGCCAUUCUGUCAGCCAUGUUGCAAUAGCAUUAAUGUCGUGUCUCUCUGACAGCAUUUGCACUACCGGGACUGAACAAUUCUCCCCUGUCAGAACCCCUUGAUAUAGGAAGAUGUGGCCAGAUGUACCAUUUGGUCUCACCAGUCUUCUCACAACUGAACCUGUUGCAUCAAAGCAAACUACUGAGGGGCAUUUUUUGGACAAUGCUUUAUACAGAUGGAGCUGAGUUGGACUCCAAUAGUGGCAGAAGAACUUAUCUAGACCAAUGUCUCUUAUACUACCACUGUGAGGGUCGCCAAAUUUGGGAGGUGACUUGGUUCAGGAUCUCCAAUAUCCAUCAAUUCCGAUGCCUUCGCUGACCUCCAUACAGCCGGCUCCAUCCUGCCCUCACACAGCUCUUUUGAAAUCUGUGCACGAAGCUUUCCAGACAUGAACCUCUUGGAACGACCAGUGUGCAGGGAGAUAUCAGUGUCUUCGAUGGAACACUCCAGAAUCAUUGGGCUGUUGACUAUUGGUUCUCUGGCACAUGUCAUUUUAACGUGGCCCUGACACUCUUUACAGAAGCCCUUGAUAUCGAUGUAAUUGUUUGUGACAGUUGGAUAAACCUUUGCUCUCUGGAA